UAAAGAUUUUACUUGUAUGAGACUUCUUUUUGGCUUGCAUUAUCCACCUAACAGCUUUCUUUUGGAGGACGAUUAAGCUUUUCAUUGCUGAACUAUUGCCAAAAAACUCAAUCCCAUAUUCCAGUCUCGUUUUAAUUAAUGAGUUAUACAGUACAAUGUGGCCCUGAAAUGAAUGAAAUUCCACUCAAGGACCUUCGGGUCAACUCCUUUUGAAUACUUCACUCUUAGAUAAUGGAGGCAAAGACAUUGAGCAAGUCUCAUCAAUGAAAGAUUUAGGUGUGGUCCUCCAAAAUAAUGGAAAGUUCGACGAGCAUAUCCCGUUGAAGGCGGGUAAAGCUUUUCAAACAUGUGGUUGGUUAUAUCGCACGUUUAAGUCCAGAGAUAGUAUCACAAUGCUAACUCUGUACAAGUCGAUUGUCCAGCCGCAUCUUGAAUAUGCCUCGCCCAUUUGGGCUCCAAUGAGUUCAGCAGGUUUGCAAAAGCUCGAGCAGGUCCAAAGAUGUUUUACUAGGAACAUUGAGGAUAUGAGAGAGCUCUCGUUCCUCAAAUGGACAUUCCACACGUCAGAUUUGGCUUUGGGUGGUUGUGAGGGAAAAUCAUACCUUGAAAACGGUUCUUGUAAAAGAAACUGUGUUUUCAAUACCAGGGUCACUCUUUGCAUGUAAUUUAUUCAAGUUCUGAUUUUAAAGAUCCAUAUGGUCAACACCUAAAACGCCUUUGCCAUUUCAUCCCCUCUAGUGUGUAGGGAAGCUCGGGUAAGCCCUCACCCUUCUCUUCUAAUUCGACGGAAUGAAAUGGUGAAUGCGUUCAAGGUGCCAUGACCAUACCGACUUUCUUCAAGCCUUACUUUUAUAAGCUUCAGCUCGAAGAAUGCCCCCGCAAUUGAAUAAAUAGCUAUUAUUGUCCACAACAGUCAUGCUUGCUAUUUAACCAUUCAAACAUUAAUAGGAAACUUCGGAUGAAAGUGCCUCCUGGUCGUACUUUACUACCAAUUAUGGUCCGGAUGGACCAUAAAGCGCCUUUGAAUGCAUGGGCCAGGCCAUCAACGCUCGGUGUUUCUCUACAUAACCUCCACGUCGAGCGGUAUCACCGGACGAUCAAAAACAUUUUUAAGCCGCACAUGAACAUUGCGCGGUUCACCCUUGGUUUGCAUCAAGUGAACAACAGGGGCUUCGUCCGGAAAGACCUGAUGACCAAAGAAGGGAUCAGGGGUGUUGGAUUGUCUAAGGUUAUGGUUGAACUCAACAAGUGCCAUCCAUCUGAAGCCCACAUAUCUAAGUACAGCGUCGAACGAAUUGGUGAAAACUCCACAAAGAUCAUUGUGCAACAGCCAACAGAAGCCCUAAACGUUUACACAAUGCGGAAAAAUCGCUUUCCUUGGAAGUUAGAGCUCCAUCUGAAAACCUGGAACAAGAGCGAGUGGUAACCCACAAGGCAACGCCUUUGAGCCUUUCUGAAGAACGCCCUGAAAUGGAGCAUGCAGCCAAGAACAUUGAUGGGGAUGAAACCAUAGAUCCAAUCAACAAUACAAAGGAACGACCUGACGUGGACCUGGAGGCCGAGAUGAUUGAUGGGGAUGAAACCAUCAAUCAAAUGAACAACAAUGAAGAAGAGGAAGUGCUCACAUUUAUAGCGGAAUGCAACAAAGCCAAAGAGAGGAUCAAAUCGAUAACAAGUGUCUUGAAAUCUGACGAUUACGAUUUGAAAGAAAAGAUAAUACUAAUGUGAGCGGUUCGAAAUCCACUCGACAAUUUAAUUAGUGCACCCUUUUCCCUUAAUCCCAUUUCAUUUCCGAGAUUGGACAGAAAGCGAGUUCACGAGCGACAGAAUCGAUCUUUCUUUCCGAGCAAAUCUGCCAAACCAAAUUCUCUUGCCACUUCCAAAUUGUCCGUCGCACCUUACCAUCGUCCAACCUCAUAAUCUUUAUUGUUUUCGAAGGUAACUUGGUAUUGUGUAUGAAUGUUGAUGAUUAAAAAAAGCCCUUCAUUUCAACUUA